GCGCUCCGGCCGUCCAGACACUUCCUCUCUGGCCAGCUUGACCUUGGUGACGUCCUCUAGGCUGCUGCUACGGGAACGCAUGUUGUUUCCUUGAAAGGACCACGUUGGGACGUUACACAGCAUCUCAAAAAGAUGAAUUGAACCUCACCACUGGCUGACGGAUUGCGUUCUACAAACUGGAGAGGUCUGAGUGGAAGCUAUUCUGUGAGUGAAACAAGAUCCAGAGAGCCUCUAACAAGUCAGCGAGUGCUCCACACUUUGAUUUGGACCGGUCGACCUCACCACCACCUCACAGCCCUGAUACACAAGGCAAGAAAUAAUUCUAGAAUCAGCACAAGUUUGUUAUCAUGGACCGAC